GACGAACGCUGGCGGCGUGCUUAACACAUGCAAGUCGAACGAUGAAGAAAAGAAUUGAAGCUUCGGCAGAAAUUCAUUUCGGAUUAGUGGCAGACUGGUGAGUAACGCGUUAGCAACCUACCUCUUACAAAGGGAUAGCCACGGUAAACCGGGAUUAAUACCAUAUAACAUUGCGACGAAGCAUCUCGCUUCACUCAAUGCUACGGCGGUAUGAGAUGGUCUCGCGUCCCAUUAACCAGAUGGUGAGGUAACGGCGCACCAUAGUAACGAUGGGUAACCGGGCUGAGAGGGUGAGCGGUCACACUGGAAGUGAGACACGGUCGAGAAUCAUACGGGAGGCAGCAGUAGGGAAUAUUACACAAUGGAGGGAAGUCUGAUGCAGCGACGCCGCGUGAGUGAUGAAGGAAGUCGUAUAGUAAAACUCUGUUAUAUGGGAAGAAAAGGACUGUACCACAGGGGAAAGCCCCGGCUAAAUACGUG
rnacentral:rRNA from 1 species